rnacentral:rRNA from 1 species
GAUGAACGCUGGCGGCGUGCCUAAUACAUGCAAGUCGAGCGAACAGACGAGGAGCUUGCUCCUCUGACGUUAGCGGCGGACGGGUGAGUAACACGUGGAUAACCUACCUAUAAGACUGGGAUAACUUCGGGAAACCGGAGCUAAUACCGGAUAAUAUAUUGAACCGCAUGGUUCAAUAGUGAAAGACGGUUUUGCUGUCACUUAUAGAUGGAUCCGCGCCGCAUUAGCUAGUUGGUAAGGUAACGGCUUACCAAGGCAACGAUGCGUAGCCGACCUGAGAGGGUGAUCGGCCACACUGGAACUGAGACACGGUCCAGACUCCUACGGGAGGCAGCAGUAGGGAAUCUUCCGCAAUGGGCGAAAGCUUGACGGAGCAACGCCGCGUGAGUGAUGAAGGUCUUCGGAUCGUAAAACUCUGUUAUUAGGGAAGAACAAAUGUGUAAGUAACUAUGCAUGUCUUGACGGUACCUACUCAGAAAGCCACGGCUAACUACGUG